GACGAACGCUGGCGGCGUGCUUCAUACAUGCAAGUCGAACGAGAAGUUACCUUCGGGUAAUGGAAAGUGGCGGACGGGUGAGUAAUAUGUAGAGAAUCUGCCCUAGAGUGGGGGACAACCGUUGGAAACGACAGCUAAUACCCCAUAUGAGCGUAGUUGAGAUACUAUUCUUGAAAACUCCGGUGCUCUGGGAUGAGUCUGCAUCUGAUUAGCUAGUUGGGGGUGUAAUGGACCACCAAGGCGAUGAUCAGUAGCUGGUUUGAGAGGAUGAUCAGCCACAAUGGGACUGAGACACGGCCCAUACUCC
rnacentral:rRNA from 1 species